rnacentral:rRNA from 1 species
AUUGAACGCUGGCGGCAUGCCUUACACAUGCAAGUCGAACGGCAUCGCGGGAAAGCUUGCUUUCCUGGCGGCGAGUGGCGAACGGGUGAGUAGCACAUCGGAACGUACCGGCUAGUGGGGGAUAACCCGUCGAAAGACGGGCUAAUACCGCAUACGCUCUUCGGAGGAAAGCAGGGGACCUUUGGGCCUUGCGCUAGCCGAGCGGCCGAUGUCCGAUUAGCUAGUUGGUGGGGUAAAGGCCUACCAAGGCGACGAUCGGUAGCGGGUCUGAGAGGACGAUCCGCCACACUGGGACUGAGACACGGCCCAGACUCCUACGGGAGGCAGCAGUGGGGAAUCUUGGACAAAGGGGGCAACCCUGAUCCAGCAAUGCCGCGUGGGUGAAGAAGGCCUUCGGGUUGUAAAGCCCUUUCGGCAGGGAAGAAAUCGGCGGGGCGAAUAACCCUGCUGGAUGACGGUACCUGCAGAAGAAGCACCGGCUAACUACGUG